rnacentral:rRNA from 1 species
UACAGAGGUCUCAAGCGUUGUUCGGAUUCAUUGGGCGUAAAGGGUGUGUAGGUGGCGCCGUAAGUCGGGUGUGAAAUUUCGGAGCUUAACUCCGAAACUGCAUUCGAUACUGCGGUGCUUGAGGACUGGAGAGGAGACUGGAAUUCAUGGUGUAGCAGUGGAAUGCGUAGAGAUCAUGAGGAAGACCAGUGGCGAAGGCGGGUCUCUGGACAGUUCCUGACACUGAGGCACGAAGGCCAGGGGAGCAAACAGG